ensembl:lncRNA
CUUGAAAGUAGCCCCCACAAUUUUCCUAAAGGCUUUUUUGUUCUCUCUGGUACUAAUGAGUUAGCUGCGUAGGCAGCGACUUGAUAAAGGGAAAAUGAACUGAAUCAUUAAGCUUCCUUUAUCGUCUCCUCUUUACAGACCACAAAACUGACUGGAGGAAACUCUACCAAAAACUUUAAUAUGGAAAAAAGGGAAAAAAUGAAAACAUCAAGAUCCCUCCACAAAGCUCUGCAAAGAUUCAUGAAAAUCAUCUACUCAAGGUGCCUGGAAAAGACCGAGGAGAUAAUGGACAGGAAAUGGUAGACCAAUGUGGUUGCCGGGAUCAGCUAAGAUGAAAUGUGUGAAACACACUGUGCGAUACUCAGUUGGUGGCUGGCUCCUGUUCAACAUCAUUCAGGAGGUACCCGUAGCCAGGGGUGUGACCUCAAGAGGAGCUCUGCUUCUUAGAGGGAUCCCCAGCUCCUAGCAGUAACUCCAAAGUCUCCAAAGAAGAUGAUGGACCAGCCACCAUGAUGACUCCAUCUGGAUUGUGGUAACAGAAACUACUGGAUGAGGUGAGACAUCCCCAGUGCUGCACCUGCUGCCAGGACCCACCCCAAACUGUGGACAAGGAAGACACUGGAGAGUUGAUUGUCCCACUUUUCCUAGAGAUUUCCACUUGACUGACGUCAACCUGCUCCAAACAAAUGCCAGACCUGGACUUGAUGAAAGUCGAUGUGAACCAGACCACAUGUGAUUGCUCCCUGUCUCUUCAGCUGGGUCAGCAAACCAGAUGCUUCUGAUGAAUAGAUACCCCACUGCCUGAAUUCCCUCCUUGCCUUUGAAUAGCAUUUCAGCCCUCACCUGCUCCUGGCCCUACAACAUCAUCUUAGUUUCAACAGGAAGUGGUUGUUCUCCAACAGGCUGGAAUGUUAGAUCAAAAGAAUAGUCCCUGGUUCAGGGGACAAAAGCUACUUAUAGAACCUAUUUGCAUACCAGGAAAGGUACCUGUUAAACCAAAUAGGCCCAGAUCUAUCAAUAGGUAGAUUCAUUAACUGAAAUAGUUCUGCAUUAUGCCAGGGCACUCAACUUGCUCUAUGCAAAACAAAGGUUAUUGUAUACCUUUAAGAGAAAAUUGUUGUUUCUAUUCAAACUGCCCAGGAAUCAUUAGAAAUAACCUGGUUGUACUAAGAAAAAUUGCAUAAAAGGGGACCUGGGAUAAGUAAAUAACCGAUCCCUAAUCUCAUUUCCAGCUUCCAUCUAGAUAGUAACUCUGAUGUCAGCCAUCACAAGGCCUUUGGCCCUUCUGCUUCUGCUGAUGGCUGUUGGCUCUUGCAUCCUUGAUGCCUUAACUAAGUGAUAAUUCCUGUCUGGGCACCAUUAAACUGAUGAUUAUUAGAUCCCAAUAUAAACAGGUACCCAUCACAGAGUCAAGGAUUUGGCUCAGGAUACAACUCAAGGGGGGAAUGUGAGAGCCAAGUUACAUUUUAAGUUGUAAUUACUAUGCAAAGAGGUCCAUGAAACAAAAAUACCUCUGAUCUGCAAGCACCUGUCCAAGAACAGAUAGUUCCUGAAAUGUUGGAGUCUAUUGUCUAUGGGCGAUAAAAAGCCAUAUGUUUCCACUCCCCUAAACAAGUUUGUUUGAUCCAUCUGCAUUGAACGUGCUUGAUCACAUGUGGGUAGGAGGUAUACAGGCAGGAAGUACAUCAGGAUGGAUGUUUGUCUCUGAUCAAACCUCAUGGGAAAUAUAGUGAAUUACGGAUUGCACCUUCUGAAGACUCUGCAAAAUGUGACUUGGGGCCAUUUCCUUAUUCCCAGAGGCUUUUUCUCCAUUCCCCCAUCCCAACUCCGUAGAGAGCUGGCUCAGUAAGUCUGAGCUGUCCUGUGGAAGGAUAGACUUUCCCUGUCUUUUCCUCAAACAGGCACUCCUAUACUUCUGUGAUGUAGGGUCAUGGAGCUGAGUCACUUGCUGUGGGUGCAGAGUCAGAUCAGGUCAGUGGGAUGUUGUAAGCUUGUGAGGAAGCUCUUGUGUAUACUGCUCCUGCUUUCCUUAUAGCUCUCCUACGAGCGUAUGUUUGAGACAAGACCUCUUGUAGCCCAAGCUGCUCUUGAACUCUUGAUCUUCUGCUUGCAUCUGCUGGGUGCUGGGAUUGGAGACAUACAUUCUCACAUCUGGCUUAUUCAGUGUGAAGAUUGUACGUGGGUUUUACCGAACCAACUGAGUUAAAUCUCCAGCCCCCUAAAAAACACAGUUUUAAAAGAAGCCUGCUACAUUUCCACAUACAGAGUUGAGCACAUGAUCAGAAUGGCCAUUAAGAAUGAAGGAAAGACUAUGAAGUUCAAUAAUUGAAGAGACAUACUAUCUUCCCUUUCUUAGGGUUGGUAGGGUUACUAGGUGAUGUAAAUGGAGGUAUCAUUGGAUAUUGAUUAGAGAGAGAUGCUGCAACAAUAAAUCCCACAAUGAAUUCCACAGCUUAUUGUUAAUCAAGAAUGAGCAGUCAUAUAUUAAGAUCUCUCAGAUAUUUCCAAGGUCAAUGUUGAUAAUGGAGUCCACAGUAAGACCUUCCCAGAAAGGAAGCACACACUCUUUUUUUUUUUUUUUGAAUUAGAAACAAGAUUGUUUUACAUGUCAAUCCCAGUUCCCACUCCCUCCCCUACCACUCCCUCCCUAACUAAAACCCUACCUAUCACAUAUCCUUACUGCUCCCCAGGGAGGGUGAGGCCUUCCAUAGGUGGUCAUCAGAGUCUAUCCUAUCCUUUGGGAUAGGGCCUAGGCCCACCCCCGGGAAGCACACACUCUUGAUUUAACGUCCACUUGUCCAUCUCUUCCCCUGUUCUUGGCUCUGCUUCUCUUCUUCCCUCCAUCCAAUGUGUGCUAGGAAAUGCAGAACACUUUAUUCUAAACAAAACAUAACGUAGGAAAGAGAAGAAACUGGGAAAAUAAUAAUAAUUCCGUUCCCAAGUUUGUGGACUCUUGGCUCUUUGAAUGCUCUCUGUCAGGAUGCCCUCCAAACAGGGCUGUCAAGAACUGGCAGGAAGAAGGGCGUUUGCUGGCCUUAGUGGAAACACAGAAGCACUCAGAGAGAGGAAAUGUCUUUUGUAUCCAAGGAACAAACAGUAGUUAUCCUCUCAGCAUUUAAUAGCCUCAACAAGGUGAAGGUUACCAGAGAAAGCCCAGAAAAAUAAUGUAGGUUUUGCCUCCAAAGCCUCAAUUAUCAAGGAUGUUUGGCUUACAGACAAAAGGGCUAAUUAUUUUCCGAGGAGAACUGUUUUCUUUCUGUUUCUUCAUCAUCUUUCAAACCCAUUUUUUAUUGUUCCUUUCCAUAUUAAACAUGUACAUACUCUGUGUGUCCUCCUUAUCCUCAAGUGCACAUGUACACACACACACACACACACACACACACACACACACACACACACACAGAGAGAAAUCUUUCUGUGACCACAGUUUCUGUUCUGAAACCCAGGGAAUUUUAGAGGGCACAUCCUUUCACAGUCACUCUCGGCUUGAGGUGAACUCCACCUGGCAAAGGCCUCUGUCUGCAUAAUGCUCAUUUCUGAGCUCACAAAGGACCAAGAAUUGGAAAGUGCCUUUCAAAACACCUUUUAUAAAAACCCAGUUGUAAGAUCGAUUUUGACCAUGAUUGGAGUGUUACAUACCUAUCUUAGGAAAAAUGGAAUUUAAAUAAAAGAAAGCAGAAAAUAGAAGGUAGAGGGAGAGGGAGACAGGGAGAGGGGAAGAGAAUGGAGAAUGAUUUUCUCAUGGCUAGGCCGGUACUCACAGGGCCCUGGUCAACUUCAGGGUCCUCAGUAGGAUGUUUUGCAGGUGGUAGUUUGCCUGAGUUUAUCUUUUCUCAGUCUGUAUACUCAUCAAAUAUUAAAUAUUUUAUUCUAAUUAUGAUCUGUAUAACAUGUUCUAAGGAAUAAAGAGAACCAGCCAGCAACAAGUGGCAAGCAGUGCCGGAAGCAGUCAUUUCCUCCAAUCAUUUAUCUUACAAGUAAAGGACAAUCGUGAAGCAAUGUCAUAUACCUUGAACCCUAGUCCUUCCAUAAUUUUAACAUCAUUCUGAUUAAGGCUUCCUCGAAAAGCCUAAAUGUUGUUUAAAUUCAGCUUUCUUAGCCAGGUGUGGGAGUGCAUGCCUUUAAUCCUCGCACUCGGGAGGUAGGAUUUCUGUGAGUUCAAGGCCAGCCUGUUCUACAUAGAGAGUUCCAUGACAGCCAGAGAUACAUAAUGAAACCCUGUCUCAAAACAAAACAAAACAAAACAAAACAAAACAAAACAAAACAUCUCUUGCUUAACCUUUCAGGAGAGGAUCGAAAAGUGAAGUUUAUCUUCAAAUUCUUCUGUUAUCAUCAAUCCUAAGUUAUGACAGUGCAUCCUAAUUUUUCUUGGGAAUUAAAAUAAUCAGAUGCCUAGCCCAUCACUGGCAAUUACUGAACAAGAAUGUUUAGAACUUAUAUGUUCACAUUUAGGAAUUAAGAAAGGAAUUAUUUUAUUUUACAUCUUUACAGGUUUUGCUUGAAUGCAUGUCUGUGCAUUAUAUGCGUGCCUCUCUGUACCGUUAUUUCUAUAUUGUUCUAUAUGGUGUGUGGCCCUUCUAUGCUGUUAUUUCUAUAUUGUUCUGUAUGGUGUAUGGCCCUUCUAUGUUGUUAUUUCUAUAUUGUUCUGUAUGGUGUAUGGCCUUUCUGUACUAUUAUUUCUAUAACAGUAACUGUAGGGGACAGUAAGCCACGCCUGUUGGAGGCUGGCUACAGGUGUGCCUGACCACCCCUGUUAAGGCGUGGUCAAGGUGAGGUCAGGAUGACGCAGCAUGGGUUCUUAAGGAACCACGAGCACAUAGAAGCCCCUUCUUCUCCUUCCCCUUCUCCCUGGCCUCGAUGCUCUGGCUUGCGUUUGGCUGGUAUUUAUCUCAAUAAAGAUAUCUUGACCUUAUGGAUUACAGAUUGUCUCCUGGAUCACACAAUACUAUAUUGUUCUGUAUGGUGUAUGGCCCUUUACGCUGUUCUUUCUAUAUUGUUCUGUAUGGUGUAUGGCCCUUCUGUGAUGUUAUUUCUAUAUUGUUCUGUAUGGUGUAUGGCCUUUUCUGUACUGUUAUUUCUAUAUUGUUCUGUUUGGUGUGUGGCCCUUCUGUGAUGUUAUUUCUAUAUUGUUCUGUAUGGUGUAUGGCUCUUCUGUGAUGUUAUUUCUAUAUUGUUCUGUAUGGUGUAUGGCCUUUCUGUACUGUUAUUUCUAUAUUGUUCUGUUUGGUGUGUGGCCCUUCUGUGAU